GUAUGUGAUUAUUGAAACAAUAAAGAAGAUUAGCAUGGCCCCUGUACAAAGACAUGAAAAUUUGUGAAACAUUUCAUAUUAGG
rnacentral:snRNA from 1 species